GACGAACGCUGGCGGCGUGCUUAACACAUGCAAGUCGAACGCAAAGGCCCUGCUUUUGUGGGGUGCUCGAGUGGCGAACGGGUGAGUAACACGUGAGUAACCUGCCCUUGACUUUGGGAUAACUUCAGGAAACUGGGGCUAAUACCGGAUAGGAGCUCCUGCUGCAUGGUGGGGGUUGGAAAGUUUCGGCGGUUGGGGAUGGACUCGCGGCUUAUCAGCUUGUUGGUGGGGUAGUGGCUUACCAAGGCUUUGACGGGUAGCCGGCCUGAGAGGGUGACCGGCCACAUUGGGACUGAGAUACGGCCCAGACUCCUACGGGAGGCAGAAGUGGGGAAUAUUGCACAAUGGGCGGAAGCCUGAUGCAGCAACGCCGCGUGCGGGAUGACGGCCUUCGGGUUGUAAACCGCUUUCGCCUGUGACGAAGCGUGAGUGACGGUAAUGGGUAAAGAAGCACCGGCUAACUACGUG
rnacentral:rRNA from 1 species